rnacentral:misc_RNA from 1 species
CCGCUGAUUGCAACCUCAGCCUGGCGGCUGGCCAACAAGCAGUAGUCACUGAGUCGUUAUAACUCACUGAGUCAACUUCCGCGAGUGAUUCAAUUUCACCAAACCCUAGUGGGGUGGGGGUGUGGUAAAGUGAAAUGCUGAGCUGGUAAUGGGUAAAAAAAAAAACUGAGACCCACCACUCAUCGUGUGUCUCCACAGUGUCUUCACAUUUGUUUUUCUCUCUCGCUCGUACCCUUUUCAUUUUCACUUGCCUUUUUGU